GUCUUUUCCUCUUGCAGAGUCUCAAGUGUCUUCUACUAAAAGCCUCAGAAUCACACUGGCUUUCAAGGAGAAAGACUGAAAAUAAUCCUAUUGUUUAUCCUAGAGCAACAUUGCAGAGUGUAUUGGAGCCGUGUGGCCAUCCAUGGAUAACCAAUGCAUCAUACAUCAUGCUUGACAAGACAGUCACAACAGAAGAUGGCCUGACAGCACCUGUCUACAGUACAGUAUCGAGGCACACAGGACCUUGGAAAUAAAAGGGAAUAUUACAAAUACUGCAGAGACACAAGGAUUAGUUGUUUGUUUGUUUAAGGCACCAGUCUACAUCUCCUGGCUGACUAAUGCAUCAAACAAAGCAGGCUUAGGUAAAUUGAAAGAGAGAAGCUUUCCUGGGUCCAACUUAUGUUUUUCUGGCAACAACUGAGCUCACUCGAUUAAUACUUAAGGAGAGCACUGCAUUGAGGCACAAGUGCUAGCCCAGCCAGGGAUGCUCUCAGCCAUGGCUGCACAUGACAAUCAUCAGAAAGCCUUUUCACACUGGGAAGGGUGUGCUUUUUAAGUCUUCCUUGGCGAUUUUCACCUGCAGUCCAGGUUAGCCAUUGUAUAAUUUGAACAGCAUUGAAACUCAGGAAAAAUUAACCUUCAGUAUCUAAUAUAAUCGGAUUUAUUCAAGAGUAUCCUUUUCUGUAAAAUAGAAAAUUAAUAAAUUAUAUAGCUUUGAAAUCAGGUUAUCCUAAGUAAUAGACCUGCAAUUUAAGGAAUUCUGAGUUUUCCAAAUUUCUUGAUGACUAUGAUGUUUGGUCAUUUGCAAAUAGCUAGGCCUUUUAGAAAAAUCUGAACUGUCUCUUUGGAAAUUGUCAGUAUCAAAAUGGAGUCAUUUAUGUUAAAAAAAAAUACAAAAAAAAAAAAAAACUCCAACAAAUAGAGCUGAGGAAAGCUAUCAAGAAAGAGUUCUCAUGUUUGUAUGCCUGGCAACAAAAACUAUCACAAAACAUUGCAAAAACCACACCCUUGCACAAAUGCUUUCAGGAACUUACACCAAAAAAUACUUCUGCGAGGACAUCACCCCAAAAACUGCUUGUCCAACCUUGGAGUAGCAUCAUCUUUGUUAUUGAUCAACAAAGCCAAGAAUAAUCAUUUUAAAAUAAUUAUGUAAUACUCUUCAUUUUUUCUUUAAAAGCAUAGCCUUCCUUUACCUCCCUGAAUGUGUACAUAGUUUACUAAGGCACACAUGUGCCCUUUGCAAUGCCCCAUGCCUCAAUAAAUAUCUUUUACUUUUAGAGAGCCUCUCUCUGUUUGCUAUUUAGGUUGACACAUCCAUGUUCAAUAUUUUUAAGUUAAUGUUAAUUGUGUCAACAUGGAUGUUGUGAUCACAUAGAGAUUAAUUAUGUUCAGAUAAUGAGCUCAGCUUCUACCACCAACUUCAGCACUCUUCUACUACCUCCUGCUGGAGAUGGCCAUGCAAAGUGUUGCUGUUCUUAAAAGUCUGGCAUGCAAAGAGAGAAAUAAAGAAAUAGAAUUGUGAUUUAAAGGUUUUUUUGUUUGUCUUUUAAGGAACAACUUUCUGGGAGCCAAACAUGCAAUAGCAAAUCCAACAGAUCAUUCAGCAAAUUUAACUUCAUGAUCUUCAAUGUAUUACUUCGGUAGAUUUAACCACAUUUCCCAAAGACUGACAGGUUCAUUUUUUGAUUCAUGAUCUACUUAUGCCAAGACCUAAAAGAAACUUUUAAAUCCCUAUUUAUUUCAUUAAUUGUCUUGUAAGACAAUUCAUGAAAGUGACCUGUAAGACAAUGGGUCAAUAAAAUUUGAAGUAAAUUUGUACUCAAUCUGUUAACCACAUCUAACAAGGCUCAUCCAUCCCAAUGCCUUGAAGAAAUCUCUUAUCACAGACUGCCUGCUAAUCAUGGGGCAUGAAACAACUUGUAAGAAUAUGGCAACAUAGAGAUUUGUGGAAAUUAAAUGCCUGCUCUUUUAAAAACCUGACUGUAAUUAGUUUGUCUAAUUGUUUAAGGUCAGAAUAUCUUUGAUAUGCCAGCUCCCAGUAAUUUCACUUCAGGAAUAAAGAAAAGAAAAAAGAAACCUGAGAUAAAGAUACUGAUUCCUGAAGCAAAAUGCUUGUCAUAUAUUAGAAAUGGAAAAAUCUUCAGUUAAUAAAUA